UUUGCAGAGAACAUUUAAGAGAGAGUUUGGAAGAAGCAGAGGAAUUUUACUAGAAUUUUGAGGUUGAAGAAGAGGAGGAGAACUGAAGCAAAGUGUAUCCAUGGCUGAAUCUUGGUUCAUUCUGCACAUCACUAGUUUUUAAUUCAGUUUGAACUCUUCAAAAGGAAUUAAGAGGGCAGUUGGUUUUCACUCGAAAUAAGGAGGUCUCUAGUUUUUCUUGUAUUUCAGAGUGUACCGGUGGAGUUCAAAACUAUAUUUAGUAUGGUUGGAAAGCUUAUUCAAUUUUCUACAACUUUCAUGAAGAAAUCGUGAACCAAAAACGACUAAAAAUCAAUUAAAUUCUGGAAGUUGUUCUGUUUCGAGGGUUAUCUAAGUUUAUUCACAGGGAAUCAGAUUUACAUGUCUUCAGGCCGAGAAGAAUUAAACCGAGCUUAUAGACCGAGGAUCUAGCCCAAGACUGUGAGUGACAAAACCAACUUUGAAAGAUUUUCCAUAACUGUUAUUAUGAUUGAAUGCGAUAAAUGUUUAUUUACGAAGCCAUGAAAGGUAUUUGAAUUUCAUGACUAUUUUCAGGUAUACAUUUGGAGACUAGAUUUCUUAAAGAAAUUUAUGCUAGCA